AACCAAGUAAUUAAAAAAUGUGGUAGG
rnacentral:sRNA from 1 species